ensembl:lncRNA
GGGUUAGAGUUAGGGUUAGGGUUAGGGUUAGGGUUAGGGUUAGGGUUAGGGUUAGGGUUAGGGUUAGGGUUAGGGUUAGGGUUAGGGUUAGGUUAGGUUAGGGUUAGGGUUAGGGUUAGGGUUAGGGUUAGGUUAGGGUAGGGUUAGGGUUAGAGUUAGGGUUAGGUUAGGUUAGGGUUAGGGUUAGGGUUAGGGUUAGGGUUAGGUUAGGGUUAGGGUUAGGGUUAGGGUUAGGGUUAGGGUUAGGGUUAGGGUUAGGGUUAGGGUUAGGGUUAGGGUUAGGGUUAGGGUUAGGGUUAGGGUUAGGGUUAGGGUUAGGGUUAGGGUUAGGGUUAGGGUUAGGGUUAGGGUUAGGGUUAGGGUUAGGGUUAGGGUUAGGGUUAGGGUUAGUUAGGGUUAGGGUUAGGGUUAGGGUUAGGGUUAGGGUUAGGUUAGGGUUAGGGUUAGAGGUUAGGGUUAGGGUUAGGGGUUAGGGUUAGGGUUAGGGUUAGGGUUAGGGUUAGGGUUAGGGUUAGGGUUAGGGUUAGGGUUAGGUUAGGGUUAGGUUAGGGUUAGG